UACAGAGGUCCCGAGCGUUGUUCGGAUUCACUGGGCGUAAAGGGUGCGUAGGUGGUGAGGUAAGUCGGAUGUGAAAUCUCCGGGCUCAACCCGGAAAUGGCAUUGGAAACUACCUUGCUGGAGGAUUUGAGGGGGGGAUUGGAAUACUUGGUGUCAGCAGUGAAAUGCGUAGAUAUCAAGUGGGAACACCAAUGGCGAAGGCGAGUCCCUGGACAAUUCCUGACGCUGAGGCACGAAAGCCAGGGGAGCAAACAGG
rnacentral:rRNA from 1 species